rnacentral:rRNA from 1 species
AGUGAACGCUGGCGGUAGGCCUAGCACAUGCAAGUCGAACGGCAGCACAGUAAGAGCUUGCUCUUACGGGUGGCGAGUGGCGGGCGGGUGAGGAAUACAUCGGAAUCUACUUUUUCGUGGGGGAUAACGUAGGGAAACUUACGCUAAUACCGCAUACGACCUACGGGUGAAAGCAGGGGAUCUUCGGACCUUGCGCGAUUGAAUGAGCCGAUGUCGGAUUAGCUAGUUGGCGGGGUAAAGGCCCACCAAGGCGACGAUCCGUAGCUGGUCUGAGAGGAUGAUCAGCCACACUGGAACUGAGACACGGUCCAGACUCCUACGGGAGGCAGCAGUGGGGAAUAUUGGACAAUGGGCGCAAGCCUGAUCCAGCCAUACCGCGUGGGUGAAGAAGGCCUUCGGGUUGUAAAGCCCUUUUGUUGGGAAAGAAAAGCAGCAGGUUAAUACCCCGCUGUUCUGACGGUACCCAAAGAAUAAGCACCGGCUAACUUCGUG